UCGGUCCUCGGUAGUGGCCUUCGGACCCCGUCUGCGAGACGGGCCGCGGGCUUCGAUCGAUGACCGG
rnacentral:ncRNA from 1 species